AUGACUCUCAUCGUCAUUUUCAUAUCAAUGCUUGCAGUAUUCCAUCAAGAAUGCAGAGGUCAAGUGACCGUCACUCAGACUCCACUAAUAACAGCACAACCAGGACAAGAUGUCAGAAUAAGCUGCAAAGCCAGCAGGCCGGUGCAUCUUAAUGACCACGUGGCUUGGUACCUCAGGAAACCUGGAGAAGCUCCUAAAAUACUCAUGUACCGCGCCACACAUCGCUUCAGUGGAGUGCCAUCUAAAGUGACAGGAAGUGGACACGGAGCCGACUUCACUCUGACCAUCAGUGGAGUCCAGCCUGAAGAUGCAGGACUUUACAUCUGUCAGAGCGACCACACUGGAGCGAUAGACACACGCUGA